UGCCCUCGUAGCUCAGCAAGGCAGAGCGUUCCCCCUGUAAGGGAAGGGUCGCAGGUUCGAAUCCGUGCCGGGGGCACCAC
rnacentral:tRNA from 1 species